GAUUACCUCAGUAACGGCGAGUGAAGCGGUAACAGCUCAAAUUUGAAAUCUGGGUCUUUCAGGCUCCGAGUUGUAAUUUGUAGAAGAUGCUUUGGGUGCGGCCCCGGUCUAAGUUCCUUGGAACAGGACGUCAUAGAGGGUGAGAAUCCCGUAUGUGAUCGGUGGCCUGCGCCCGUGUAAAGCUCUUUCGACGAGUCGGGUUGUUUGGGAAUGCAGCUCUAAAUGGGUGGUAAAUUUCAUCUAAAGCUAAAUACUGGCCAGAGACCGAUAGCGCACAAGUAGAGUGAUCGAAAGAUGAAAAGGACUUUGGAAAGAGAGUUAAACAGUACGUGAAAUUGUUGAAAGGGAAGCGCUUGCAACCAGACUUGCGCGGGGUUGAUCAUCCGGGGUUCUCCCCGGUGCACUCGGCCUCGCUCAGGCCAGCAUCGGUUUCGGUGGUUGGAUAAAGGCCUUGGGAAUGUGGCUCCUCUCGGGGAGUGUUAUAGCCCUCGGUGCAAUGCAGCCUACUGGGACCGAGGACCGCGCUUCGGCUAGGAUGCUGGCGUAAUGGUUGUAAGCGACCCGUCUUGAAACACGGACCAAGGAGUCUAACAUCUAUGCGAGUGUUUGGGUGUCAAACCCAUACGCGUAAUGAAAGUGAACGGAGGUGAGAACCCUUAAGGGUGCAUCAUCGACCGAUCCUGAUGUCUUCGGAUGGAUUUGAGUAGGAGCAUAGCUGUUGGGACCCGAAAGAUGGUGAACUAUGCCUGAAUAGGGUGAAGCCAGAGGAAACUCUGGUGGAGGCUCGCAGCGGUUCUGACGUGCAAAUCGAUCGUCAAAUUUGGGUAUAGGGGCGAAAGACUAAUC
rnacentral:rRNA from 1 species